GACGAACGCUGGCGGCGUGCUUAACACAUGCAAGUCGAACGGAAAGGCCCUGCUUUUGUGGGGUGCUCGAGUGGCGAACGGGUGAGUAACACGUGAGUAACCUGCCCUUGACUUUGGGAUAACUUCAGGAAACUGGGGCUAAUACCGGAUAGGAGCUCCUGCUGCAUGGUGGGGGUUGGAAAGUUUCGGCGGUUGGGGAUGGACUCGCGGCUUACCGGCUUGUUGGUGGGGUAGUGGCUUACCAAGGCUUUGACGGGUAGCCGGCCUGAGAGGGUGACCGGCCACAUUGGGACUGAGAGACGGCCCAGACGCCUACGGGAGGCAGCAGUGGGGAAUAUUGCACAAUGGGAGGAAGCCUGAUGCAGCAACGCCGCGGGCGGGAUGACGGCCUUCGGGUUGUAAACCGCUUUCGCCUGUGACGAAGCGUGAGUGACGGUAAUGGGUAAAGAAGCACCGGCUAACUACGUG
rnacentral:rRNA from 1 species